rnacentral:misc_RNA from 1 species
UGCAUAUAGUGAAGGUAAACCACCUUUCCAAUUAUUCCAAUCAGGCAUUCCUUUGAAAUAACUCCAGUGAUUGAGUAAAUUCGUAAUGAGCACACCGCCAGAUGAAGUCCUAAACAAAGUAGGAAGCACUGAACUAAUAUAUUAUCAAAGAAUAAGAUAGCAAAGGUAUACCAGCAGUUAUGAUAGCGUAAACAAAUUUGCAUCUGCUGCUUUACAUGCUCACUGGGAGUAAACACAAAGGAAGUUGCAAUGCUCGCGCAUCCACCUGAAACACAAUGGGCGACAGAGUGAUAUUCCUUGGAGAAAAGAGGAAGCAGAGUUCCUUUAACUGAUUCAUAUGUAAAAGUGUAAAUGGCAGAAAUUGGAGCUGAAGAUGCAAUAUGACUAGCAAUUCCACGAUAAAGCCCA